GAUGAACGCUAGCUACAGGCUUAACACAUGCAAGUCGAGGGGAAACGAUAUUGGAAGCUUGCUUCCGAUAGGCGUCGACCGGCGCACGGGUGAGUAACGCGUAUCCAACCUGCCCAUCACUUGGGAAUAACCUUGCGAAAGUAAGACUAAUGCCCAAUGACAUUUAUAGAAGGCAUCUGAAAUGAAUUAAAGAUUUAUCGGUGAUGGAUGGGGAUGCGUCUGAUUAGCUUGUUGGCGGGGUAACGGCCCACCAAGGCGACGAUCAGUAGGGGUUCUGAGAGGAAGGUCCCCCACAUUGGAACUGAGACACGGUCCAAACUCCUACGGGAGGCAGCAGUGAGGAAUAUUGGUCAAUGGGCGAGAGCCUGAACCAGCCAAGUAGCGUGCAGGAAGACGGCCCUAUGGGUUGUAAACUGCUUUUAUAGGGGAAUAAAGUGAGCCACGUGUGGUUUUUUGCAUGUACCCUAUGAAUAAGGACCGGCUAAUUCCGUGCCAGCAGCCGCGGUAAUACGGAAGGUCCGGGCGUUAUCCGGAUUUAUUGGGUUUAAAGGGAGCGUAGGCCGGAGAUUAAGCGUGUUGUGAAAUGUAGACGCUCAACGUCUGCACUGCAGCGCGAACUGGUUUCCUUGAGUACGCAUAAAGUGGGCGGAAUUCGUGGUGUAGCGGUGAAAUGCUUAGAUAUCACGAAGAACUCCGAUUGCGAAGGCAGCUCACUGGGGCGCAACUGACGCUGAAGCUCGAAAGCGCGGGUAUCGAACAGG
rnacentral:rRNA from 1 species